UGACAUUAGUAUAUAUUUUGUGUGUAGGU
rnacentral:sRNA from 1 species